UACGAGUGCCUCAAGCGUUAUCCGGAAUCAUUGGGCGUAAAGGGUGUGUAGGUGGUCGCAUUAGUCUCUUGUUAAAUUCUUCGGCUUAACCGGGGGCAUGCAGGGGAAACGGUGCGACUAGAGGAUGCGAGGGGUCUGCGGAACUCAUAGUGUAGCGGUGAAAUGCGUUGAUAUUAUGGGGAACACCAAAAGCGAAGGCAGCAGACUGGAGCACUCCUGACACUGAAACACGAAAGCGUGGGUAGCGAAUGGG
rnacentral:rRNA from 1 species